GCGCCAUUAGCUCAAUCGGAUAGAGCAACGGCCUUCUAAGCCGUAGGUUACAGGUUCGAUUCCUGUAUGGCGUACCA
rnacentral:tRNA from 1 species